rnacentral:rRNA from 1 species
UCCAUGAAGUUGGAUUCGCUAGUAAUCGCGCAUCAGCCAUGGCGCGGUGAAUACGUUCCCGGGCCUUGUACACACCGCCCGUCAAGCCAUGGGAGCCGGGGGGUGCCUGAAGUUCGUGACCGCAAGGAGCGACCUAGGGCAAAACUGGUGACUGGGGCUAAGUCGUAACAAGGUAGC